rnacentral:rRNA from 1 species
GCUGACGAGUGGCGGACGGGUGAGUAAUGUCUGGGAAACUGCCUGAUGGAGGGGGAUAACUACUGGAAACGGUAGCUAAUACCGCAUAACGUCGCAAGACCAAAGAGGGGGAUCUUCGGGCCUCUUGCCAUCGGAUGUGCCCAGAUGGGAUUAGCUUGUUGGUGGGGUAACGGCUCACCAAGGCGACGAUCCCUAGCUGGUCUGAGAGGAUGACCAGCCACACUGGAACUGAGACACGGUCCAGACUCCUACGGGAGGCAGCAGUGGGGAAUAUUGCACAAUGGGCGCAAGCCUGAUGCAGCCAUGCCGCGUGUAUGAAGAAGGCCUUCGGGUUGUAAAGUACUUUCAGCGGGGAGGAAGGGAGUAAAG